CCAAAGAUAUCUCUAUACCAGCAGUAAAGCUGUGGAGGAAGGACAGAGUGAGUCACGGGAAAGAAUAUCCUAGCCACCCAGUUCAGUUUUACAAUUGUGUGGUAGGUUGGAACUCUGCACAGAGGUCAGAGUUAGAGAGAGAUGGAUUGACUGAUUUAUCUGUAUGGAAGUGAGUGGGAAGGCAGCGGCAGAUCUUCUGAGGGCAUGCUUUUCUGCUUUACAACUCACAUUUUGUUGGUGGCUGGCUGUGUCUUCGAAAACAGAUCACACCGUUCUGGGGCACAAUUGCUGUGAAUAGACUAGAAUCUGGCCUUCACAGGAUGUUUGGGCUGAUUUGAGGCAAAUGUGCUUUACAGAUCUAGAAUCUUGUACCCCACUCUGGCUGAAGCCCCAGCCUGCAAGUGCAGACUUUUUGCCUGUUUCACCUGUGACACUGUCCACCUCUGAAGACUUGCCACCCUGACCUUGGCCCUUGCUAUAUUUCUUCAGUGGUUCUGAUGAUGGAAUAAAUAGAAGUGCCUGGUGUAUACUGGAAAUGGGGGGAGUGUGUGUAUUUUCGGAUAGUAUUUUUUCUUUUUUUCAUCUCUGUUCUAACUACUUUCUCUGGGCACAGCUUUGCUGUAGUUAUAGCAAAGGCUAAACAAGGUGAACUUCAGUCUAGAAAUUUUUAGUUUUAUAAUUUUAUGAGAGAAGACUUUUUCAAAUAAUUUCCCUGCUUAUUGGUUACAUUUUAACUUGCUUUUUGGGAUCCAUGUAGUUAAUUGAUUAAUCAUCUAAUUCUUACUGGCAUGGUUAUGGAUGUUACUUACUAUCUCAAGGCUUAUUUUCCUGUAAGAGGGCAUAAAACCACAAAUUAUAGAUUUGUUCUGAGGAUUAAAUAAUUCCCAGUGCCUAGAACAUAUAUUUGAUGAAAAAAAUCAGUUCAGUUCUAUUGACGCCAGCAUUGAGAUAUGCUAAAUUCAAUGGUAAUUCUGAGUUUCAGAUUCUGAGAAUGUCUUAAGUUUACACUAACUUACAAUAGCAGCAAUUGUUGAAUGCUUACUAUGUGGAAGGCAUAGUAGGGCAUAUGUUAAAUGCAUUGUAUUAACUUGUUUAAUUCUCACUACAA
rnacentral:lncRNA from 1 species